GGAGGUAAAUGAUGUAAAAUCACUUUAUGCUUUUUCACUGAAUUUCCGUGUGGAUAAAAAAACUCCGCUUAUUGUCUGAUGCCUCU
rnacentral:snoRNA from 1 species